GGUUGUAUGGGGUGAUCAGCCAGAGGGGAAGUAGCUCUGGGUGCUCAUAGUUACAGUAGUAACCUUCUUACACCAGAGCUGAAGAGCAGUUCUUUUAGCGGGAUGGAAGAAAAGAAUCCCACGUGCACUUUUUGAUGGAUCUGCCCUUCUCUGCUGCAGCCUUCUGUAAAAGGAUUGUCAUGUAGAUGCUGUACUUAGAUGCCGUUGGACCAAUAGCCAAAGGUAUGCUUUUCUUCAGUGCUAAUCACUACCUCUGUUUACUGCUUGCACAAAGAACAUGAAGCAAGAAUAUUUGAAAAAUACAGAAGCAGCAAUAAAAUCACCAGCUUAACAGGUAUCUCACCUAUGUAGAAUAAUCGAGUUUUCUUCAAAUCCUUGCUAGCCCUGUAAGUUGAGUUAUAUAGAUGUUAAUAGCAAUAAAGGAAUGCUUGGAUUUGUGAAGGUCCAUGCUGAAAUAUGUUUUGGACUUUGGAUAAUUGAAAUUUACAUUCUUAAACUGCACAUUGAGGAUUUUCCCAUAAGCUGGUGCUAUUUCUCCUAUAAUUGAGCCUAGAAGCUAUUCCUUUUUGAGCAUCAACAAGAAUCUCCUUGAAGCUCUGCAUCUAGAAGUAAGCCAAGGGAGGAGGUUGCAAUUAGAGCUGCCUAAAUACAUUUGGAUCAUUAGCUGAAGAAAAAAAAAAAAAUGUUAGGUUGACUCAAAGUGAAAUUCUCUUGAUUUGUCUGCUUGGUUAAAAAUAAUAAUGAUUUCCUAGUAACUUAGCAACUUCCAAAACAAAUGGCAGCUAAAUGUCAAAAUAUUUACUUUCCAAUUUUUUUCCUUCUUGGCCACCGUUAUGCCCCAUUAGGGCCCAAUAGCAGAUGAGAUGUUUUCAUCCAGUGGCACAGUCUCAGUCCCCAGUUUGCAUCUUGUGACCCUGUAAUGGUCUCAGCUCCCUUGUUCUCUGUGCUCUGUAAAGCACUCUUCUCGCAGAGGUUUUAGGACACCAGAAGUGUGAAUGUUCAUGUGUAUGUAGAUUUUUGUGGUGGAAAUGGUUGUUUGCUUUAAUCAGAGCUGGCUUUUAUUUGAAAGAAAGGCUUUGUGCGUUCAUUGGUAUUGCUGCCAAAGUUGUAAAAUGAAUGAUUCAAUAAUUUUUCUUCUUGUAUCCUGAUAAUGACUGUGAAACAAGAUAAUGUGAGAAAACUACAGGCUUCCUUCCAUGCUUAAUUGUAUAUGUGGAGUAUUUGACUUAAUGAAUUCAUUAAAAUAUUUAAUUUUUAGCUUUGCCCAU
rnacentral:lncRNA from 7 species